CACGGAAUUAGCCGGUCCUUAUUCCAAGACUACAUGCAACAGGGCACACGUGCCCCUCUUUAUUCACCUUAAAAAGCAGUUUACAACCCAUAGGGCCGUCGUCCUGCACGCUACUUGGCUGGUUCAGGCUCUCGCCCAUUGACCAAUAUUCCUCACUGCUGCCUCCCGUAGGAGUUUGGACCGUGUCUCAGUUCCAAUGUGGGGGACCUUCCUCUCAGAACCCCUACUGAUCGAUGCCCCUGGUGGGCCGUUACCCCGCCAGCAAGCUAAUCAGACGCAUCCCCAUCCAUAACCGAUAAAUCUUUACUCUUAUUCCCAUGACAGGCAUAAGAGACCAUAAGGGAUUAGGCCGCAUUUCUACGGGGUUAUUCCUUAGUUAUGGGUAAGGUUGGAUACGCGUUACUCACCCGUGCGCCGGUCGACGACAAAGAAUAGCAAGCUAUUCUCCCGUUUCCCUCGUACUUGCAUGUGUUAAGCCUGUAGCUAGCGUUCAUCCGUGAGCCAGGAUCCAAACUCUCUACG
rnacentral:rRNA from 1 species